AAAAAACAAACAAACAAAAA
rnacentral:sRNA from 1 species